UGCAAUCACGGCAGAAGGUGAAAGGGAAGU
rnacentral:piRNA from 1 species